GACGGAAGGGGCAAGCGUUGUUCGGAAUUACUGGGCGUAAAGGGGUGCGUAGGCGGUCGCGUCCGUCUGCUGUGAAAGUCCACGGCUCAACCGUGGAGGGUCAGUGGAAACUGCGCGGCUUGAGGCUGGGAGGGGCUGGUGGAAUUCCCUGUGGAGCGGUGAAAUGCGUAGAGAUGGGGGAGAACACUCGUGGCGAAGGCGGCCAGCUGGUCCAGUCCUGACGCUGAGGCCCGAGAGCGUGGGGAGCAAACAGG
rnacentral:rRNA from 1 species